rnacentral:rRNA from 1 species
GACGGAGGAUGCAAGUGUUAUCCGGAAUCACUGGGCGUAAAGCGUCUGUAGGUGGUUUAAUAAGUCAACUGUUAAAUCUUGAGGCUCAACUUCAAAAAUCGCAGUCGAAACUAUUAGACUAGAGUAUAGUAGGGGUAAAGGGAAUUUUCCAGUGGAGCGGUGAAAUGCGUAGAGAUUGGAAAGAACACCAACGGCGAAAGCACUCUGCUGGGCCGACACUGACACUGAGAGACGAAGCUAGGGGAGCGAAUGGG